rnacentral:lncRNA from 1 species
GGGGCAUUGUAGUGGCCUGAUUGAAGGAGAUAGGCAAUGCCACUUUUGAGUAUUAUGAUAGUCAAGUGGCUUUUGAUCUAUUUACCUUUAUGCCUAGUUCUACUCAUUGCUUGGCGUGGUCUAUGCUAGUAUUUGUCUUCAUGAGCAUAAGUCCUUAUGGGAAUAAUUUAUCUUGACUUUAUCUUUGGGUGUUCCAACUAUUUAUAUAGGAGAUUUUAAUUAUAUUCUAUCACCCGAUAAAGCUAGGGAUAGACCUUUUAAAGCUAAUAGAGAAGUUUGUGAAUUCCGAUCCUUUCUUCGCCAAGCAAGGCUGAUGGACU